UAAAGCUAACUAGAAGUUAUAUUGCAAUCAUAUCACUUCAACAUUUGAAGUUUUAAAUUUCAUCUUUCAAUUCAAAUUGUUCCUGUCCAAUUACUCAAAUUUGAAAUUGUUGAUUUUCACUAACCUAAAUGCUAACAUUGCAGCAACAACUUUCCCUAUAAGGGUAACUAUUUUUAUAGUUCUAGCUGAAGGAAAUGACAGAGAAGAACUACCUCUUGAUACUUCAAAUUUUCUUAUUUCAGAUUAUACAAGUGGAAAUAAGUGAUGAUGAGUUGUAGUGGUAUUCUCCUAAGGGAGUACAGAAAUUUCAAGAUUAAAAUCUGUCAUUAGGAUUUUUUCCCCGUUUUCCAUUUGUAACACUUGCCAUGAAGUGACAUGAUUCAAUAACAACUAACUCAGUUACCCCAGUGAAUUCCACGCCUGAAGCAUUAGAUGCACUGAACACUUAUGGAUGAUAUAUAGCUUCUUGGCAGGAGUAGCGGUUUUCAAGUGGCUGCAACUCAUCGGCAUGCACAAAAGGUAUUUGGCUGUGGAGUUCACCUUUAAGGAGAACAACUCUUGAUGGAACAGAAUACAACUUGUUACUGCUGGACACAGAAGGAAUUGAUGCUUAUGAUCAAA